rnacentral:misc_RNA from 1 species
UUUUUUUUUUUUUUUUUUGCCCCAUUUAUAUAGCCUUCAUUCUUUUUAUUUCCAAUCAAUGUGGGAAUCCUCCACAUUCCAACACCCCACCCCCUCCCUCAGUUGUCACUUGGCAUUGCAUGGGAUGACCCAUUUACUUGGGUCUGACUCUUGGUUUUGCUCUUAGAGUCUGGCUCCCCAUAACUAAUCCAUGGGUCCAUCUGAGUCUGGUCCUUUUUUGACUCAGCUCACAGGUGUGGCUCAUUGCGAUCUAGCCCACCAUGGUUUCAGGUCCUGGAUCUACAACCGUUGGGCCUCACUGCUCCAAUACCAUGUUGAGAAUUGCAGACCCAGGGAGUGAAUCCAUAAAACAAGCUGGAUCUGCCGGAGUUGGGCUUUGGAUUUGGGCUCCCAUCACCAAAAUGGCUUUUUGCCAUUUUGGUUUGGUUUUGUCCCAUUUAUAUAGCUUUCAUUCUUAUCUCAAGCCAAUGUGGGAAUCCUCCAUAUUCCAACAAUGAAAAUCUUUUUGGAGAAGGCUAAAAAAGAUCUAAUAAUUUAUUGAAGUUUGGACCAUGUUGCCAUGUGCUAGCUUCUGAAAAAUGCAUAUUUCUUUGCUCAUGCUGCUGUUAUUUAAUGUUCUACAUUAGAGAGUAGAGAAUAAAUGCUAUAUUCAUAAUUGAUUGAUUUUUUUUUUAUAACAUAGGUGUCAACUUUACAAUGUUAACUUGAGCUACAAUUCUUAAUUCUUAUUUUGUUAAUUGUUCCAUUGGAGGUCAAAUAUCCAUGUGACCAAUCAUUUGCAAGUGUGCUCUUAUAUAUGUUGUUGCAUUCUGAUUGUACCAUUGAAGUUGUGAUAAUAAAUAAUAGAUAAGCUAGUGUUUCAGAAAGGAGCAUGCACAUGUGUGCAAUCUGUGAUUCUAUUUAUCCACCAUGCACACAAAUAGUGACAUAAACACAUGCACACACAGAGGGGUUGGUCAAUUAUGUUACUCAUGGAAUCCUAACUUUUCACAGCCUGUUCAUAAGUGGAUGGUUCGUCAUAUCUACUUUCCAUGCUUACGGCAUAAAGUACCAAAG